rnacentral:rRNA from 1 species
UACGUAGGGCGCAAGCGUUGUCCGGAAUUAUUGGGCGUAAAGGGCUCGUAGGCGGUUUGUCGCGUCGGGAGUGAAAUCCACUGGCUUAACUGGUGGCUUGCUUUCGAUACGGGCAGACUGGAGGUAUGCAGGGGAGAAUGGAAUUCCUGGUGUAGCGGUGAAAUGCGCAGAUAUCAGGAAGAACACCCGUGGCUAAGGCGGUUCUCUAGUACGGUACUGACGCUGAGACGCGAAAGCGUGGGGAGCGAACAGG